UUGGAAACCCUAGCGCCUCCUUCAUAUUUUCUGCAGAUCGAAGAGUUUCACAGUCACGAAACCCUAGCCCUCAUCAUCUUCCCUAUUUUGAUUUAAAUGAAAACCCUAUAUCGCUCAUCUUCCUCUACUGAUUAUCUCAUACAUCGUCCAUAUACUCUCUAUCCUCUAAAGUUAGAAAGAUCCAGUUUCAAGCUACAAAGCUUUUCAUGAAUAUUCAGUCUCAAAUCUUGAGAUAAUACUUUUUCUUCGUGAUGGAAAGUUGGUAUUUACAUUUGGUCGACGAUUGGUCAGCGGCUACCGAUUGUAGACUGACUCAACCUUCGUGAAACCCAAAAAAAAUUUGUCUCUGGAUUCCAGCUUUCACUAACGCACAUGUACUAUUAAUUUCAGGUUUUCUUUGCGGUUUACUUCCUCCAAUUCAUUCAGGCGUUUUGAGAAUAUGUCCGGUUAUUAUAAUUGAAUCUGAGCUUGCAUUUGCGGACCUGAAUGAUGACAUGGCAUGUGCCACUGCCUAUCUCCAGUAUGUCGUGAAACAUGUUCUUGAAAAUUGCAAGGAAGAUAUGGAUUUCUUCAACAAUUGUAUUGAGAAAGGGAUCAUCGAUCGUUUGAGUGAUGUUGAGAAAAGGUUUGUGCGAAUGAAGUACACAGAUGCAGUUGAACUGCUUCUAUAAUCAAAGAAGAAAUUUGAAUUUCCGGUGAAAUGGGGAUGUGAAUUGCAAAGUGAGCAUGAACAUUAUACAACUGAGGAGGCUUUUAAUGGAUGUCCUGUUAUUAUAACAAACUAC